GCUGGCGGCAGGCCUAACACAUGCAAGUCGAGCGGUAGAGAGAAGCUUGCUUCUCUUGAGAGCGGCGGACGGGUGAGUAAAGCCUAGGAAUCUGCCUGGUAGUGGGGGAUAACGUUCGGAAACGGACGCUAAUACCGCAUACGUCCUACGGGAGAAAGCAGGGGACCUUCGGGCCUUGCGCUAUCAGAUGAGCCUAGGUCGGAUUAGCUAGUUGGUGAGGUAAUGGCUCACCAAGGCGACGAUCCGUAACUGGUCUGAGAGGAUGAUCAGUCACACUGGAACUGAGACACGGUCCAGACUCCUACGGGAGGCAGCAGUGGGGAAUAUUGGACAAUGGGCGAAAGCCUGAUCCAGCCAUGCCGCGUGUGUGAAGAAGGUCUUCGGAUUGUAAAGCACUUUAAGUUGGGAGGAAGGGCAUUAACCUAAUACGUUAGUGUUUUGACGUUACCGACAGAAUAAGCACCGGCUAACUCUGUGCCAGCAGCCGCGGUAAUACAGAGGGUGCAAGCGUUAAUCGGAAUUACUGGGCGUAAAGCGCGCGUAGGUGGUUUGUUAAGUUGGAUGUGAAAUCCCCGGGCUCAACCUGGGAACUGCAUUCAAAACUGACUGACUAGAGUGUGGUAGAGGGUGGGGGGAAUUUCCUGUGUAGCGGUGAAAUGCGUAGAUAUAGGAAGGAACACCAGUGGCGAAGGCGACCACCUGAACUAAUACUGACACUGAGGUGCGAAAGCGUGGGGAGCAAACAGGAUAAGAUACCCUGGUAGUCCACGCCGUAACGAUGUCAACUAGCCGU
rnacentral:rRNA from 1 species